CACAGAGUGGUAGAAACAUGUAGAGAAGCAAAAAGGAAACAUGCUGAGAGCAGCAAAAGUAGUAUGAGAGCCCAUUCGGAAGCUGCAGAAGACAGCAGUACUUGGAAACAGAAGAGGAGGCUGGAGAAGCACUGUGAGCUGUGGUGGACAAUCACUUGCUGAAGCUCCGCCAUAGCCAUAAAGCUGCAGGACACCAGCCUGCACUCUGGCUCCCUGCUGCAAUGGUGCUGACCUCUCUUGCUGCAGG